CCUGCAGAAAAAGCACCGGCUAACUACGUGCCAGCAGCCGCGGUAAUACGUAGGGUGCAAGCGUUGUCCGGAAUUAUUGGGCGUAAAGAGCUCGUAGGCGGUUUGUCGCGUCUGCUGUGAAAUCCCGAGGCUCAACCUCGGGUCUGCAGUGGGUACGGGCAGACUAGAGUGCGGUAGGGGAGAUUGGAAUUCCUGGUGUAGCGGUGGAAUGCGCAGAUAUCAGGAGGAACACCGAUGGCGAAGGCAGAUCUCUGGGCCGCUACUGACGCUGAGGAGCGAAAGGGUGGGGAGCAAACAGGCUUAGAUACCCUGGUAGUCCACCCCGUAAACGUUGGGCGCUAGAUGUGGGGACCAUUCCACGGUUUCCGUGUCGUAGCUAACGCAUUAAGCGCCCCGCCUGGGGAGUACGGCCGCAAGGCUAAAACUCAAAGGAAUUGACGGGGGCCCGCACAAGCGGCGGAGCAUGCGGAUUAAUUCGAUGCAACGCGAAGAACCUUACCAAGGCUUGACAUAUACGAGAACGGGCCAGAAAUGGUCAACUCUUUGGACACUCGUAAACAGGUGGUGCAUGGUUGUCGUCAGCUCGUGUCGUGAGAUGUUGGGUUAAGUCCCGCAACGAGCGCAACCCUCGUUCUAUGUUGCCAGCACGUAAUGGUGGGAACUCAUGGGAUACUGCCGGGGUCAACUCGGAGGAAGGUGGGGACGACGUCAAAUCAUCAUGCCCCUUAUGUCUUGGGCUUCACGCAUGCUACAAUGGCCAGUACAAAGGGCUGCAAUACCGUAAGGUGGAGCGAAUCCCAAAAAGCUGGUCCCAGUUCGGAUUGAGGUCUGCAACUCGACCUCAUGAAGUC
rnacentral:rRNA from 1 species